rnacentral:rRNA from 1 species
GUGGGUUCAAACCGUGACUAUAGCAUUGGAUCCCAUCAGACCUCCAAAGUUAAGCAUCCCUAGGCUUGAAUAGUAUUGGGCUGAGUGACCACCUAGGAAGUCCAAGUGGUGACCCACU